GGUUGAUCCUGCCAGUAGUCAUAUGCUUGUCUCAAAGAUUAAGCCAUGCAUGUCUAAGUACGAGCCGUGUUCGCACGGCGAGACCGCGUACGGCUCAUUAAAUCAGUCGUGGUCCAAAUGGGCCAGUGCUUAUCCUACUUGGAUAACUGUGGUAAUUCCAGAGCUAAUACAUGCAACUCAUGCCCCGAGAGUGCCGCUCUUGUAGUGCGUGCUCGACGGGUGCUUUUAUUAGACCAAACCGCUGAGGGCGGUAUCCGUUUCGGCGGUGCCGCCUGACUCGUUUAAUGGUGACUCUGGAUAACCUUUGACAAGCGCACGUACCCCUCUUUGAGCGGGACGGCGCUGCCACUUUCGAGUGUCUGCCUUAUCAGCUAUCAACCGUUCGUUACGUGCGACCGAUGGCGUUGACGGGUAACGGGAAUCAGGGUUCGAUUCCGGAGAGGCAGCCUGAGAGACGGCUACCACGUCCAAGGACGGCAGCAGGCGCGCAAAUUACCCAAUCCCAGCCUCUGGGGGAGGUAGUGACGAAAUCUAACGAUGCGGGCGCCCUUUAUAGGGCCCCGCAAUCGGAAUGAGCACUUUCUAAACAACCUGUUGAGAACCUACUGAAGGGCAAGUCUGGUGCCAGCAGCCGCGGUAAUUCCAGCUUCAGCAGCAUCUAUUAAAGUUGCUGCGGUUAAAAGGCUCGCAGUUGAAUGUCAGUGCCGAGCGCAGGUCAGGUGGACGCUGGGGCGUGAGAACCAACGUGUGUACGGACGGCUGGCGCGUGCAAUCACUUGUCGCGUUCAGUCGCACCNGCGUGCGUCUCACAAGCUCCCGUCCGUGACAAGCCUCCUCGCUUGCGUACAUAUCGGAAUCUGUUUCGGAGGCUGCGAAAUGCCAGAGGUUUCGACUCGGGUCUUGCUCGUACGGGGUGUUUCGGCAUCGCCAACGCUUGCUCGGCUUUGGGUAGUUGCCUGCUGGUUCGCAUCACCUCUUUGUGGUUUCAAAGUCACCUUGAGUAAAUCAGAGUGCUCANAGCAGUCGUAGGGGCCUUGUGCCCUGUGAAAAGUCUUGACAGACUGACUGGUUAUGCAUGGCAUGUCGGAAGACGACGUCGCGUGCUGGCUCAGAGAUGCAAUCAGUGGUGUAAGCCAGCCGCGACGUAAUGAUUAAAAGGGACGGUCGAGGGCAUUGGUAUUGCGAGGCGAGAGGUGAAAUUCUAUGACCCCCGCAAGACCUCCUGAAGCGAACGCGUCUGCCAAGGACGUUUUCAUUAAUCAUGAACGAAAGUUAGAGGAUCGAAGGCGAUCAGAUACCGCCCUAGUUCUAACCCUAAACGAUGCCAACCAUCAAUCCGCGCGUAGCACCCUUCUUAACGGGCUCGGCGGGCAGCUCCUUACCCACGGGAAACCAGAGUCUCUGGGUUCCGGGGGGAGUCUGGUUGCAAAGCUGAAACUUAAAGGAAUUGACGGAAAGGCACCACCAGGCGUGGAGCCUGCGGCUUAAUUUGACUCAACACGGGCCAUCUCACCAGGCCAGCACUCUUGUACGAUUGACAGAUUGAGAGCUCUUUCUCGAUUCAGUGGAUGGUGGUGCAUGGCCGUUCUUAGUUGGUGGAGUGAUCUGUCUGGUUAAUUCCGAUAACGAACGAGACUCUCCCCUACUAACUAGUCGGUUGGAUCUUGCUCUGCGAGUCGUGUACCCAGUGACCGGAGGAGUCGGUGUUUGGGGUAGUGGCACCGCGUCAAAGGGGGUCUGGGUGUGGCUUAACUGUCGUGCUCUCUCUCCCUGCGGCGUGCGAGUGUGCUGCUUACAGCCUCUCUCUCACGGCUGGGACCACACACUCCAAGUCCACCGCUUAUGCUUAAAUUCUUCUUAGAGGGAUUCACGGUUCUGAAGCCGUACGAGACUGAGAGCAAUAACAGGUCUGUGAUGCCCNNAGAUGCUCUGGGCCGCACGCGCGCUACAAUGCCGGGCACAGCAGGUGUUUCUCCUACUCCGACAGGAGCGGGUAACCCUCUGAAAGCCCUCGAUAACUCUCGUGUCUGACACGAACGGCGUGCUUGGGCCUGGGGCUUGCAAUUCUUUCCCACUAACGAGGAAUGCCUAGUAGCGGCGAGUCACUGAGCUCGCUGUGACUCAGUCCCUGCCCUUUGUACACACCGCCCGUCGCUACUACCGAUUGGGUGUACCAGUGAGAGCCUUGGACUGGCGUCCGCUGCCUUCGGGCAAGCGGGUCCGACGGAAAGAGGUCCGAACUGGUGCACUUAGAGGAAGUAAAAGUCGUAACAAGGNNNCCGUAGGUGA
rnacentral:rRNA from 1 species